GGAAACGGUAGCUAAUACCGCAUAACGUCGCAAGACCAAAGUGGGGGACCUUCGGGCCUCAUGCCAUCAGAUGUGCCCAGAUGGGAUUAGCUAGUAGGUGGGGUAACGGCUCACCUAGGCGACGAUCCCUAGCUGGUCUGAGAGGAUGACCAGCCACACUGGAACUGAGACACGGUCCAGACUCCUACGGGAGGCAGCAGUGGGGAAUAUUGCACAAUGGGCGCAAGCCUGAUGCAGCCAUGCCGCGUGUGUGAAGAAGGCCUUCGGGUUGUAAAGCACUUUCAGCGGGGAGGAAGGCGUUAAGGUUAAUAACCUUGGCGAUUGACGUUACCCGCAGAAGAAGCACCGGCUAACUCCGUGCCAGCAGCCGCGGUAAUACGGAGGGUGCAAGCGUUAAUCGGAAUUACUGGGCGUAAAGCGCACGCAGGCGGUCUGUCAAGUCGGAUGUGAAAUCCCCGGGCUCAACCUGGGAACUGCAUUCGAAACUGGCAGGCUAGAGUCUUGUAGAGGGGGGUAGAAUUCCAGGUGUAGCGGUGAAAUGCGUAGAGAUCUGGAGGAAUACCGGUGGCGAAGGCGGCCCCCUGGACAAAGACUGACGCUCAGGUGCGAAAGCGUGGGGAGCAAACAGGAUUAGAUACCCUGGUAGUCCACGCCGUAAACGAUGUCGAUUUGGAGGUUGUGCCCUUGAGGCGUGGCUUCCGGAGCUAACGCGUUAAAUCGACCGCCUGGGGAGUACGGCCGCAAGGUUAAAACUCAAAUGAAUUGACGGGGGCCCGCACAAGCGGUGGAGCAUGUGGUUUAAUUCGAUGCAACGCGAAGAACCUUACCUGGUCUUGACAUCCACAGAACUUUCCAGAGAUGGAUUGGUGCCUUCGGGAACUGUGAGACAGGUGCUGCAUGGCUGUCGUCAGCUCGUGUUGUGAAAUGUUGGGUUUAGUGCCGCAACGAGCGCAACCCUUAUCCUUUGUUGCCAGCGGUCCGGCUGGGAACUCAAAGGAGACUGCCAGUGAUAAACUGGAGGAAGGUGGGGAUGACGUCAAGUCAUCAUGGCCCUUACGACCAGGGCUACACACGUGCUACAAUGGCAUAUACAAAGAGAAGCGACCUCGCGAGAGCAAGCGGACCUCAUAAAGUAUGUCGUAGUCCGGAUUGGAGUCUGCAACUCGACUCCAUGAAGUCGGAAUCGCUAGUAAUCGUAGAUCAGAAUGCUACGGUGAAUACGUUCCCGGGCCUUGUACACACCGCCCGUCACACCAUGGGAGUGGGUUGCAAAAGAAGUAGGUAGCUUAACCUUCGGGAGGGCGCUUACCACUUUGUGAUUCAUGACUGGGGUGAAGUCGUAACAAGGUAACCGUAGGGGAACCUGCGGUUG
rnacentral:rRNA from 1 species